rnacentral:rRNA from 1 species
AUGCAAGGCGUCGGUGACCAGGGAGGAGGCAUGGAGAUGAGCUUCGGUGGUGGGGGCGGAGGUGGAGGGGAGUGCUCAUCGUCGUCCGUGGUGGCAGUGGCAGUCGCGACCGCGUUGGCGGCCGAGGCGGAGGAGCGGCAGCUGCUCAAGGGGAAGAUGGUGGUGCACCCGUUGUGCGAGCAGCUAGUGGCGGCGCACGUCAGCUGCAUGCACGUGGCCACCCCAAUCGACCACCUCCCGCUCAUCGACGCGCAGCUCGCGCAGUCCGGCGGCCUCCUCCACUCCUACGCCACCCACCAAUGCCCCUUCCUCUCCCCGCACGACAAGGAGGAGCUCGACUCCUUCCUCAUGCGCGCUACCUACCUACCACUUCCUCCAUGGAUUGACUGA